UUCAGUUAUGCCAUCUCCCACUGAAAGCAACUGGAAGAAAACAAACAAAACAAGAUCAGCAAGAGAGCCAUUUAAAUAUAUUUCUCACAUAUCCCAAAACAAUUUCUUUUUGUACUGACACAUCAAGUUUUAAUAAGAAGUGUCUAUCCCAACUGGCAAAAGGAAGAAGGCAAAUCUGACCCACAUGCCAAGAAAAGUCCUCAGACUGCCUGCCAAGAUUUCAACUGGAACUCCUGGCACAGAUUUGUUUUACAAAUGCAACUCAUAACAGAAGCCAGUGGCAGUGGGAGAAGUCCAAGGCCCCA